CUAAGGGGGCGCGGGCUCGCUCCAGAGGACUGCAAAUCUAAGCGGAUGCUGGGGUCAGGCGGGAGAACGCCUCGGAUUGCCGUCAGGACUGGGCGGACACUGGAUCUGAGGGGACAUGGGACUGUGAGCGACCCUGAAUCGCGAGGUCUGACAGCAUCUUGCGGGAGGGGAUGUCUCAGGGAUGCCGGGUCCCUCCGCCCGCCGCCACUCCCCGGCCGCGGCGCUAGCCGGGCCUGGGCACCCACCUGGCCUCCAGCAGCAGCGGGGUCUCGGGCCACUUCGCAGUCAAGUGGGCGGUCACCGCCUUGGACGCAGUCGCCGUGCUGGCGCCGAGCAGGGCGAGCCACAGCGCGACGGAGCGCAGGAGCAGCCUCAUCCCCUUCGUGGCUCUGGCCCGCACCAAGGCACGCCGAGGGAAGCGCGAGACGCCACGCUACGGUCUGGUCCUCCCGGUGCUCCGCCGUCCACUUCCGGUGGGGGGAGCUGCAGUCCGUUAGUCCGCCGGUCGUGGGCGUGCGCAUGCGUGGCCAGCGAGGUCCAGGGGCGCAGUGGGGGGAGCCCCCGGGUGGACAUCGGCCCCUUGCCUACGCAGGGCCGCCGCGAGGAUUUUCGGAGGGUCCGCCGCCGGGUCUGGGGAACCCAGCCUUCCAUGCCAAUCUACCGCUAGCUGGAGCUGCCCCAGCCCCGCUGGUCAGGGACCCUGGGUGAGGGCCAGCUUUCCGGUUAGCAUCACCUGGGGGGAGCAGGAGCGAGAGUAGGCCUCAAAAAUGACGUAAAAAGGCGCAGGCGACUCCUGUGUGCACUGUUGGGAGAGCUGUGAUUUAUCUAUCUAUCAGUGGGCUUUCCCUGCUCUCUGGCUGGUUCUGAGGGCUGGACCUCGCUCCCCGCCACUGCCACCCCCACCCCCCAGGAUUCAGUGGUCUCCUGCUGCUAUCAGAAGUGGCAUCUCAGGCCUGCCACUUGCUUUUGGAGUUGGGUGCAGAAGUGUCCUGACUCUCAGCCCCUUGGAAGGCCCAGGUGAUUCCUGUGCCCCACAAGACUGAGAGGCGCUGCUUCAAGAGAUUACAGCUGAAUAGAAAAAGAAAAGUCGGAAAAUGAUAGCAGUGAAAUGUUUCUUUAGAAGAUGCUGUUCAAAAAUCUGCUCAGGUGAAUCUCGACGCCAAAGUGGCACCUUCACUACUGACUUCUCUCCCAGUGACUCUUUUGUCAGCUGUCGUGUCGCUGGAUUUUCACUUUAGGACCUGAACGCAGAACUUACUUACUUCCUACUGUAGAUGGCACUUUUCUCUGAGGACUCAUGCCUCACUCAUUUCUGGAACAAUUUAUGCCGAGGAUCAGGACCAUCUCUCCAGGGCUGUUUCUUUGCCUGAAGAUAAGAGGACACAAGUGGGUGACCUUCACAUUUUUUUCUCUAUGGAAUUGCCUGGUGUAGACAGAAAAACCCAACUGCAAAAACCUAACAAAGCACACGCCCAGGAUUGAAACAGAGCUUUGGGUAUACUAAGCUGGCAUUUUAUAACUGAGCUACCCAACCUCUAAGGACAUGUCUCAAUGCAUGUGUGUAUGCUUGCAUGUGCAGUUCAUCAUGGGGGCCUUCAAACAGCAGGUAGUGACUGUGAACUGCUGAUGCCAUUCAUUUUAAUCCAGUGUGAAUACAUUCCCAGCUCUUAGCUAGAGGUGCAGAGCCCUAUUUGAAGAACCCACACGGUCUUCCCAAAGGUCAUCCUUUCCUCCGGGUCCCAGCUGUACUGGAGGAAAAUGGGAAUUCCAGCACACCCCAAGAAGGUUCAGGAUUUGGCUUUUGCUUAUCUCUGACUUAGCCAGUCUUGGAGAAUUGAGCAAUGAUGCCAGCUGGCGCACAGUUGAGCCUGCAUCAGCAUCGAUGCCAGUGGCACCACAGUGGGUCUCCGUCUUGCUAACGUGCCUCAUACAGGCGUUCAACGUGUGUGCCGACAAAGGAGAGCUGACAGUCAUCCUCCCAGACAGUCAGUGUGCUACCACAGUGACCAAAAGCAAAUCAAGAGAUUCCCAACUGCCAGUGAUAAGUAAAGAUGGCCAUGGAUUCCUGCUGGUGGAACCAAGAGAUCCUAACUGCCAGUGAUAAUAAGCGCUCAGUCAGUGCAUUACCACAGUGACCAAAAACAAACCAAGAGAUAUCAGUAAGGACGGCCAUGGCUUCCUGCCGGUGGUUUCGGAUGAAUGCUUUGGGCCAGAACACUUUGGGUUCUAAACACAAUCAAACACUAAACUCACUCUCUUGGAGAUGCUUAGGAAAGACAUGCAGCAGCUGCCAGCCCUGAUGUGAAGGAUAAGAGCUAUAACUGGAUACUUGGUUAAAACUUUAACUUCAUGUUCACAAAACUCCUACCUCCUAUUUAUAUGUCUGAAUGGAUUUUUCAUACCUCUGACAUUCAUGUGACCUUUUCCAAGACGAAUGGCCAGUACCCGUCUUGUCUUUGAACACACCUCUUCCUGUAAAUCUAACCACUAACAUAACUUCCAUAACAAAUUUACUUUUCUUUCUUUUGUUUUGUUGUUGUUGUUUUUUUUUUUUUUUUUUUGAGCUGUAAUUUUGUGCUACUUUUUAAAGUGGUUUAAAUUGGGAGUUACACUCUCUAGCACACCUGACAGGCCGUUGUAUGAAGAAUAAGCCCGAGAUCUAUAACUCAGGGAAGAGAAGGCGGAAACAGUACAGAGGAGAGACACCAGUAAGGUGCGAGGCUCAGGGCUGAGGAGGAGGAAAGAGCAGACACAUGCUCUGAUAAAGCGUUGGGGAGCCAAAGUGACCUAACUGGGGAGGGAUGGCACACUCAUCAACAGUCUGGGGCUGGUUUUAGGGGAAAGGCAUGCGCCCAGUGUUGGAUACCCUGAGUUUCAGUGUGUAUGUUGCAAGGACAUAGACAAGACACAGGGUAAUGAGACAUGGAAGUGACAAUUCUUUGUUGAUUGGCAUCUGGGGGAAGGAUAUGGAAAAGAGACUAAGGGAAGCUGUUACGACGUUGGAGGAUGAGCUGGGUGAAAAUUAGAUUAUGACCUGGAGCUCUGACUGUAGAAUUGAUUACUAUAAGGUGUUAUAAAACAGCAUUUUUAGGAGAUGAAUAAAACUUUGUAAAGUACUACUGUCAAAUGAUUUAGCAAAAGCAUGUAUUCUCAGGAUGUUAAAAUUGCUGAAAUUGCAAAGCCUGCUCACUAGGUGGGGAUCCAUGCCUGGUCCUGAAGGCUUACUGCUUGUGGCUGGAGAGGACACAGACCCCAGCUGAGAACCUUCUGUUGUUUUCCGAAACCAAUGUAAUUCCUAGCUAUAUUGCAACUACGUACAACCCUAUAUGUGUAGCUAUCACUGCCCAUCAAAGACAGCUCUCUCUGUAGCAGAGAGAAGCUAUUUCAGAGACCCCCAGCUGGUCACAGUGCAGAAGGUAAUUGAGUGUGGGGUUCUCAGCCCCAGCUGGUCCAUCUACACUGUGAGAUCCCUAUGUGAGGCUCAGCCCCAGCUGGUCCAUCUACACUGUGAGAUCCCUAUGUGAGGCUCAGCCCCAGCUGGUCCAUCUACACUGCGAUCCCUGUGUGAGGCUCAGUGAGCAUCAUGGAAGAAGGUGCAGGAUGAUUGUUAGAAUCAGAGGACCUGGACACCUGCUGCUAGACAGUGUCUCCUGGACAUGGCAUGGAUACAGCCCCAUGAAAUCUCACCUACCUGGCUGUCUAAACAAGACCUACCCCAAGACCAACGUGCCGAGGUGGAUGGAGGAAGUUUCACAAGGGUUUUCUUUGUAGUUAAACUGGUUGACCUUCCCCGUGCAAAGUAGAACUAGAAGACCGUGUGAGGCUGGAUCAUGAAUCCUCUUCCUUGUAUGUGGCAGAAGCAACUUGACUUUCUCUUGUUUAUAAACUUUCAAGAGUCUGAGGCACAUCAAUCAAAAGAGGAAAGGGACAACCAUCCGAGUCAGAGGCAUCAGGGAAGAACAGACACUCAUAGAAAUGUUACAGGAGAAGUUCAAGGAUCAUGAAGAACGACCAGCAAAGAGGAAGCAAUGGAUUUUCCCUACAGGUUUCACAAGAACAAGGCCCUACUGACAUCUUGAUUUCUGAUCUCUAUCCAUAAAAACUGGAUAGCUUCUGUAAAUUUAAGAGAAAAAAAAUAAAAAACACAAAAGCAAGAAUGAAAAAGAUACUUAUAGUUCACCAGUCUUCUUUGUUUCAACCUCAAAUAAACCAACAAGCAAGCAAACAAGCUGCAUACCCACAGAAUGCUCCCGAGUCUCUGGACAUCUUCCAACACUGUGUGAAUUGUUCUUCAAGUUCUUCACUCUUCACCAAGAAAAUGCAAAGGUUUGGAACCCACCCGCAGAGGGGCAGAGCCUGUUUCUGAGAGCUAGUACAGAAGGCACAUGGGCUAGCAAGUUUUUGUCUUGGAUUGUAAAUUGAAGGUUGAACCAUGAAUAUUCAAAACGUAGCCUGCCUGACUAUUUUACCCAAGGGAAAAAUCAACAAGAAGUAAUGCAUGUGGCAGAAAUUAAUGGACAGUAGAGGUUACUGAUAAUGGCGUAGUAGGGUUGUGGCAUAACAAAAUGGAAUUGGGCCUGGAGACAUGGAUGGAUAUACUAGGAUUCCAUUGUAGCUCAGUAAGGAGUUCAACAAAAGAGCUGAGAACCAGAUGGAUCCCGAUAUUGCAAAGAGGAAAGGAACAUCUGAUAAAAGGCUCACAAGUAGGUGGAUGUUCAGUGAACUUGUCCCGAGAAGCCACAGUCGGAAACAAAGGAACCACUUAAAACUUGCAGAUCCUGGAGGGGGAUUGGACAGCUUGGGCUUAGGCAGCCCUUACAGGCUUCAUGCCAUCCCUGUUACUGGGCCUAAUCUCAUACCUGUCUCAUGUGGGUAACCACAGAGAAUUUGGAAAAUGGUUUGCCUUGUCUGGAAGCCAGCUUUCUAUAGCAGGUAAAAUUUUCUUUCCAUAGUACAACAUUGGAAAGUAAAGUUGGUAAUAGAACAUUCCAACAGCCAAUAUAGAAAACCCUGAACCCUGCCUGGGAACACUAUCUUUUAUUUCAGUAACUAAAUUAUUAUAGAUUAUUAUGAAAAUCAGCAAAGAUGACAUUCUAAAGACCUUUCUUAUUGGCUCUGUGUACUUUGUUAAAGAAUAAAUUCAGAGUUGAAACACUAUUUGAAAGACAUAAUAAAACUCCAAAGAAAAUAAAUGAACAAUAGCUACAAAUGCCCCUGGUUUGAAUCUCAGAAAACACAGUUUGGUGAAAGGAAAGCAACGGAGAAAGAAAGGAAAUAAAGCAGAGUCUCUGAGUGCAUCGCUUCAUUCAAGGUCUGGAUUCAGUCCCCAGCUCGGGAAACAAGCAAGUGAGCAAAAAGCAGAGAAAGAAAGUGCAAAUCCGAGUUCUCAACAGCACACUCUCAGCUGGGAGGGACGCUCAGACAGGGCUGCAUCUGCUCCUGGGAAAAUCACUGGGUUAACUACCAGUGAGGCCUCGAAAAGACCGUCAGAGUGCAGGAAAAGCUGGCGGACAACCUUCCCAGCGAACCCUGGAAGGCCGGUGGACAUUAACAGGGACUGCCCCCGAGUACAGGUGGGAUCGGGAGUGCUACAGAAAACAGAAGCUUCCGUGAUCCA
rnacentral:lncRNA from 1 species